rnacentral:rRNA from 1 species
AACGAACGCUGGCGGCAGGCCUAACACAUGCAAGUCGAGCGAAGCCUUCGGGCUCAGCGGCGGACGGGUGAGUAACGCGUGGGAACGUGCCCUUUGGUACGGAAUAGCCCCGGGAAACUGGGAGUAAUACCGUAUGUGGUCGAGAGACGAAAGAUUUAUCGCCAAAGGAUCGGCCCGCGUUGGAUUAGGUAGUUGGUGGGGUAAUGGCCUACCAAGCCGACGAUCCGUAGCUGGUUUGAGAGGAUGAUCAGCCACACUGGGACUGAGACACGGCCCAGACUCCUACGGGAGGCAGCAGUGGGGAAUCUUAGACAAUGGGGGAAACCCUGAUCUAGCCAUGCCGCGUGAUCGAUGAAGGCCUUAGGGUUGUAAAGAUCUUUCAGUGGGGAAGAUAAUGACUGUACCCACAGAAGAAGCCCCGGCUAACUCCGUGCCAGCCGCCGCGGUAAGAC